rnacentral:lncRNA from 1 species
UAGGCAACAGUAGAAAAGAAUCAAGGAGCUCAGCGAGAGAGAAAGAGAAUUAGGACCUCGAAAGAACUUCUUCCAGCACUGUUGCCUUCCCCAUUUUAUAGUAGAGCGCGGCAUGGCACCGUCAUUAAUGGCGCGGACAAUGGGAGAGUUGUCAAAUCGCCAGAGGCCGUAAGAGUUGCCGCGGACUGUCAAGUCGCCGUGGGCUUGUCAUAUCACUGGGAUUAAUCUAUGUCCUUGGCAGGACAAUGUCCCAGGGCGGCUGUGCCGCAUGCCUUUGUCAGAAC